rnacentral:rRNA from 1 species
UUUAUGGAGAGUUUGAUCCUGGCUCAGGACGAACGCUGGCGGCGUGCCUAAUACAUGCAAGUCGAGCGGACCAAUUAAGAGCUUGCUCUUAUGAGGUUAGCGGCGGACGGGUGAGUAACACGUGGGCAACCUGCCCUGUAGACUGGGAUAACUUCGGGAAACCGGAGCUAAUACCGGAUAAUCAAUGACACCACAUGGUGUCAUUGUAAAAGUUGGGAUACUAACACUACAGGAUGGGCCCGCGGCGCAUUAGCUAGUUGGUGAGGUAACGGCUCACCAAGGCGACGAUGCGUAGCCGACCUGAGAGGGUGA